GAUAGUGGUAUAGUGGUUUGAUCAUUGGACUACAACUCUAGAGACCAGAGUUCAAAUCUCUGCUUGGCC